CUCCGGUUGAUCUUGCCGGACCCGACUGCUAUCGGAUUGAGAUUUGACCAUGUGAGUCGAACGUCCCCCUGUUGCGGGGGGCGUGGCGUACGGCUCAGUAACACGUAGUCAACCUGCCCUGGAGACAAGGACAACCCCGGGAAACUGGGAUUAAUCCUUGAUAGGUCAUCUCAUCUGGAAGGAGAGAUGGCUUAAAGGGGUACGCGGGCUUCUUCCGCGAAUCUGCUCCAGGAUGGGACUGCGUCCGAUCAGGCUGUUGGCGGGGUAAUGGCCCACCAAACCUGUAACCGGUACGGGCCUUGAGAGAGGUGGCCCGGAGAUGGACACUGAGAGAAGGGUCCAGGUCCUACGGGGCGCAGCAGGCGCGAAACCUUCGCAAUGCGCGAAAGCGUGACGAGGUUAAUCCGAGUGACUCCCGCUGAGGGGGUCUUUUGUCAGCUGUAAAUAGGCAGGCGAAUAAGGGGAGGGCAAGCCUGGUGUCAGCCGCCGCGGUAAUACCAGCUCCUCGAGUGGUCGGGGCGAUUAUUGGGCCUAAAGCAUCCGUAGCCGGUUCCGUAGGUCCUCUGUUAAAUCCAACCGCUUAACGGUUGACCUGCAGAGGAUACCGCGGGACUAGGAGGCGGGAGAGGCGGACGGUACUCCGCGUGUAGGGGUAAAAUCCUUUGAUCCGCGGAAGACCACCAGUGGCGAAGGCGGUCCGCCAGAACGCGCUCGACGGUGAGGGAUGAAAGCUGGGGGAGCGAACCGGAUUAGAUACCCGGGUAGUCCCAGCCGUAAACGAUGCUAGCUAGAUGAUUCAUUCGCAAGUCGCGAAUGAAGUGUCGCAGGGAAGCCCGUUAAGCUAGCCAAAAGGGGCGUACGGUCGCAAGACUGAAACUUAAACGCCUAAAAAGG
rnacentral:rRNA from 1 species